rnacentral:rRNA from 1 species
AGAGUUUGAUCCUGGCUCAGAACGAACGCUGGCGGCAUGCCUAACACAUGCAAGUCGAACGAGACCUUCGGGUCUAGUGGCGCACGGGUGCGUAACGCGUGGGAAUCUGCCCUUGGGUUCGGAAUAACAGCUAGAAAUGGCUGCUAAUACCGAAUAAUGACGUAAGUCCAAAGAUUUAUCGCCCAAGGAUGAGCCCGCGUAGGAUUAGCUAGUUGGUGAGGUAAAAGCUCACCAAGGCGACGAUCCUUAGCUGGUCUGAGAGGAUGAUCAGCCACACUGGGACUGAGACACGGCCCAGACUCCUACGGGAGGCAGCAGUGGGGAAUAUUGGACAAUGGGCGAAAGCCUGAUCCAGCAAUGCCGC